rnacentral:rRNA from 1 species
GAUGAACGCUGGCGGCGUGCCUAAUACAUGCAAGUCGAGCGAACAGAUGGGGAGCUUGCUCCUCUGACGUUAGCGGCGGACGGGUGAGUAACACGUGGAUAACCUACCUAUAAGACUGGGAUAACUACGGGAAACCGGAGCUAAUACCGGAUAAUAUAUUGAACCGCAUGGUUCAAUAGUGAAAGACGGUUUUGCUGUCACUUAUAGAUGGAUCCGCGCCGCAUUAGCUAGUUGGUAAGGUAACGGCUUACCAAGGCAACGAUGCGUAGCCGACCUGAGAGGGUGAUCGGCCACACUGGAACUGAGACACGGUCCAGACUCCUACGGGAGGCAGCAGUAGGGAAUCUGCCGCAAUGGGCGAAAGCCUGACGGAGCAACGCCGCGUGAGUGAUGAAGGUCUUCGGAUCGUAAAACUCUGUUAUUAGGGAAGAACAAAUGUGUAAGUAACUAUGCACGUCUUGACGGUACCUAAUCAGAAAGCCACGGCUAACUACGUG